rnacentral:rRNA from 1 species
UACGAAGGGGGCUAGCGUUGCUCGGAAUUACUGGGCGUAAAGGGAAUGUAGGUGGUGACGUAAGUCAGAUGUGAAAGCCCUGGGCUUAACCUGGGAACUGCAUUUGAUACUGCGUUGCUAGAGUGCGAGAGAGGAAAGCGGAAUUCCUGGUGUAGGGGUGAAAUCCGUAGAUAUCAGGAGGAAUACCGAUGGCGAAGGCAGCUUUCUGGCUCGUAACUGACACUGAGAUUCGAAAGCAUGGGUAGCAAACAGG